GUCUUCCGGUACAAAGCGAACUACUCUUUCGCCUUUUACUAAAGAGUACCGUGUGCUCGCCGCUCUAAGUGGCAUAUGCCAAUUUUUGGAGGGGUCCUUCCUUUGGGUAAGGAC